GAUGAAGAACGCAGCGAAAUGCGAUAAGUAAUGUGAAUUGCAGAAUUCAGUGAAUCAUCGAAUCUUUGAACGCACAUUGCGCCCGCCAGUAUUCUGGCGGGCAUGCCUGUUCGAGCGUCAUUUCAACCCUCAAGACCCCUUCGGGGGGCUUGGUGUUGGGGACCGGCACAGGGGCCUGCCUGCUUGUCUUGCAGCGCCCUCGCCGCCCCCGAAAUGAAUUGGCGGCCUCGUCGCGGCCUCCCCUGCGUAGUAGCACAAACCUCGCAACGGGAACGUGACGGCGGCCACUGCCGUAAAACAACCCAAUUUUAUUAGAGUUGACCUCGAAUCAGGUAGGAAUACCCGCUGAACUUAAGCAUAUCAAUAAGCGGAGGA
rnacentral:misc_RNA from 1 species